rnacentral:rRNA from 1 species
UUGGAGGGCAAGUCUGGUGCCAGCAGCCGCGGUAAUUCCAGCUCCAAUAGCGUAUAUUAAAGUUGUUGCAGUUAAAAAGCUCGUAGUUGAAUUUCGAGACCGGUUUACUGGUCGUGCUUUUGUACGUACUGGUAUUAUUGGUUUCUCCUUUCUGACGAAUCUUAAUGCCAUUAAUUUGGUGUUUUGGGGAAUCAAGACUGUUACUUUGAAAAAAUUAGAGUGUUUAAAGCAAGCUAACGCUUGAAUACAUUAGCAUGGAAUAAUGAAAUAGGACGUUCGAUCCUAUUUUGUUGGUUUCUAGGAUUGACGUAAUGAUUAAUAGGGAUAGUUGGGGCAUUAGUAUUCAAUUGUCAGGGGUGAAAUUCUUGGAUUUAUUGAAGACUAACUACUGCGAAAGCAUUUGCCAAGGAUGUUUUCAUUAAUCAAGAACGAAAGUUAGGGGAUCGAAGACGAUCAGAUACCGUCGUAGUCUUAACCAUAAACUAUGCCGACUAGGGAUCGGAUGAUGUUAAUUUUUUAAUGACUCAUUCGGCGCCUUACGGGAAAC